rnacentral:sRNA from 1 species
UGAAAAGGAACAAAGGCUAAGAACGCAACGACCUGUUGCAACGCCUUUGUGACCUGCUUCGUGCAGG